rnacentral:ncRNA from 1 species
AGGUCUUGGUCUUAAACCUCACAUUACCUAAAAUCAUCUGUUUAUACAUGCAAGCCUCCCCAUGACAGUGAAACAGCCACAACAACUGAGCCGGCAUCAGUCUUUCAACCUACCAUGACGCCAAGCAAUAGCCACACCCCCACGGGUAGUACAGCAGUAGUUAACAUUUGGCCAUAAGUGAAAACUUGACCAAGCAAGAUGAACAUAGGGCCGGUUAAUCUCGUGCCAGCGACCGCGGUUACACGAUAGGCCCAAGGCAAUAUCAACGGCGUAAAAAUGACUAAAAUACCAGUCCCAACUUGGGGAAGAAGGCAGGCCGGGCUGUAAAAAGCUAUAAGCCGCAGUAACACCAUCCCCCAACACCACACGAAUUUGACUCAUGAAAAUUAGGACACAAACUAGGAUUAGAUACCCUACUAUGCCUAAUCGUAACACACAAUUAAACUACCAAUUGUUCGCCAAACAACUACGAGUCCUACUUAAAACUUAAAAGACUUGACGGUACUUCACCACGCCCUAGAGGAGCCUGUCUAAUAACCGAUAAUCCACGAUUAACCCGACCCCCCCUCGCCUAACAGUCUAUAUACCGCCGUCGUCAGCUUACCUUGUAAAAGAGAAAAAGUAAGCCAAAUAGCACCACUAACACGACAGGUCGAGGUGUAACUUAUGGGGGGGGCUAAGAUGGGCUACAUUCUCAACCGAGCAUACGGACAACACUACGAAACUAGUCUUUAAAGGCGGAUUUAGCAGUAAGAUGGCUAUAAAACACCCAACUGAACAUAACGCAAUGAAGUGCGUACACACCGCCCGUCAUCCCUGCCACUAUAACACAACCAUAACUAAACCAACCAACAAAAUCAAACAGGGCAAGUCGUAACAUGGUAAGUGUACUGGAAAGUGCACUUAGAA